rnacentral:rRNA from 1 species
UGCGGAAGGAUCAUUACCUAGAGUUGUAGGCUUUGCCUGCUAUCUCUUACCCAUGUCUUUUGAGUACCUUACGUUUCCUCGGUGGGUUCGCCCACCGAUUGGACAAACUUAAACCCUUUGCAGUUGAAAUCAGCGUCUGAAAAAACUUAAUAGUUACAACUUUCAACAACGGAUCUCUUGGUUCUGGCAUCGAUGAAGAACGCAGCGAAAUGCGAUAAGUAGUGUGAAUUGCAGAAUUCAGUGAAUCAUCGAAUCUUUGAACGCACAUUGCGCCCCUUGGUAUUCCAUGGGGCAUGCCUGUUCGAGCGUCAUUUGUACCUUCAAGCUCUGCUUGGUGUUGGGUGUUUGUCUCCUGUAGACUCGCCUUAAAACAAUUGGCAGCCGGCGUAUUGAUUUCGGAGCGCAGUACAUCUCGCGCUUUGCACUCAUAACGACGACAUCCAAAAGUACAUUUUUACACUCUUGACCUCGGAUCAGGUAGGGAUACCCGCUGAACUUAAGCAUAUCAAUAA